rnacentral:rRNA from 1 species
CCUACGGUGGGCUGCAGUGGGGAAUAUUGCGCAAUGGGCGCAAGCCUGACCCAGCAACGCCGCGUGAAGGAAGAAGGCUUUCGGGUCGUAAACUUCUUUUCUCAGGGACGAAGCAUUACACGGUACCUGAGGAAUAAGCUACGGCUAACUACGUGCCAGCCGCCGCGGUAAUACGUAGGUGGCACGCGUUAUCCGGAUGUAUUGGGUGUAAAGGGCGUGUAGGCGGGAGCGCAAGUCAGAUGUGAAAACUCAGGGCUCAACGCGGAGACUGCAUUUGAAACUGUGUUUCUGGAGUGCUGGAGAGGCAAGCGGAAUUCCGGGUGUAGCAGUGAAAUGCGUAGAUAUACGGAGGAACACCAGUGGCGAAGGCGGAUUGCUGGACAGUAACUGACGCUGAGGAGCGAAAGCGUGGGGAGCAAACAGGAUUAGAUACCCGAGUAGUC